rnacentral:rRNA from 1 species
UAGGGAAUCUUCCACAAUGGACGCAAGUCUGAUGGAGCAACGCCGCGUGAGUGAAGAAGGUUUUCGGACCGUAAAGCUCUGUUGUUGGUGAAGAAGGAUAGAGGUAGUAACUGGCCUUUAUUUGACGGUAAUCAACCAGAAAGUCACGGCUAACUACGUGCCAGCAGCCGCGGUAAUACGUAGGUGGCAAGCGUUGUCCGGAUUUAUUGGGCGUAAAGCGAGCGCAGGCGGAAGAAUAAGUCUGAUGUGAAAGCCCUCGGCUUAACCGAGGAAUUGCAUCGGAAACUGUUUUCUUGAGUGCAGAAGAGGAGAGUAGAACUCCAUGUGUAGCGGUGGAAUGCGUAGAUAUAUGGAAGAAUACCAGUGGCGAAGGCGGCUCUCUGGUCUGCAACUGACGCUGAGGCUCGAAAGCAUGGGUAGCGAACAGGAUUAGAUACCCUGGUAGUCCAUGCCGUAAACGAUGAGUGCUAAGUGUUGGGAGGCUUCCGCCUCUCAGUGCU